rnacentral:rRNA from 1 species
CAAUAGCGUAUGUUAAAGUUGUUGCGGCUAAAAAGCUCGUAGUUGGAUUUCUGUUGAGGACAUCUGGUCCGCUCUUUGAGCGUGCAUCUAGUUUGGCCUCGGCAUCCGCUCUGCAUACGUGUUUGCGCUUGAUUGCGUGCCACGGAGGUAGGGCCUUUACUUUUGAGGAAAUUAGAGUGUUCACGGCAGGCAGUCGCCCUGAAUAUAUUAGCAUGGAAUAAUAACAUAGGAUCUUGGUUCUAUUUUGUGGUUUCUAGAGCUAGGAUAAUGAUUAAGAGGGACAAUUGGGGGCAUUCGUAUUGUGGUGUCAGAGGUGGAAUUCUUGGAUUACUGCACGACGAACUACUGCGAAAGCAUUUGCCAAGGAUGUUUUCAUUGACAAGAACGAAAGUAAGGGGAUCGAAGACGAUUAGAUACCG